UCCGGUGUUUUGCCACUAGAGGGCAGCACGGUCACAGCAAUAAAUAGAAUAAAAAACGAAAUCCAAUCAGAGACUGUGAUGUCACAGCGUUUCCAAAAUGACCGCCAAAGCGGGAAGAACUGUCAACAAACAGCUGAAGAGUAAGCUGUCAGACUUUGAAGGAAUUGCUGCACGCAGCAGGCAGACAGGAUUCUAUGAAGACAGAGAAUAUGUGUGCCAAAAGUGAUGACCUCCUGCACGGAGGUAUGCUUCCGACGUGCUUCUGAUCUGCUUCUGUGAAGAGGACAACUUUGCAUUCAUGGUUUAAAACAACCCUCAUCUCACAAACAUGUGAGUUUGUGGGCAGACACCCAUCUGGAACUUUCUUAACUAUUUAUCCUGACUUCAUAUUUACACUGCUAAUAACAUGUUACAGAUGUGAGACAAACCUUGUUCCACUCUGAAAAGUUUGUCUGCUCUACAGGAUGAUGGAAUUGAUUUUGAAGUUUGAUGAUCUGCAGUUGUAUUAAGAUUUUUUUGGAAAGUUCUAAGCAUAAUCGUCACAGAGAAGACACAUUACUUGUGAUUGGAGGAAAAGUAUUCUGCGAUCUUGUUGCUGGCAUAGAUUGGUAUUUCGGGCACUUUUCCCACCAGAGUUGUUUUGCCUGAACCAGAAGGUAUUUCCUCAGAUAAUGAAACAGAAUAUGGAUUCUAAAAACAUGUCUUUCAUUUGUGUGAGAUUUAGCCCUGGUCUGUCUCACUGGUCUUAAUGCAGAUGAACUGAUCAGCAGAUUCCAGUCAGGAAGAGUGUGAGGUAAGUGUUUUGUGACGGGACCUUCUGAAAACCAUGUGGCCAGUUACACAAAUAGUAGUCUGAUGUAGUCUGAUGUAAAUGGAUCAACUUAACAGCAAAAUAUACCUAAAUAUACUUUUCCCAUCUUUAUUAAUGGUUUUAAUGUCCCCAAGAAAUCAAAUACAUUUUUUCAUUUAGUUUAUUUUUGUGAAGAAAGGUGGCCUUAGUCAGGAGCACUGUCUUUUAAAGGAAACACAACUGUUAAACUUUCAAUGUAUAAUACCUUUGAGACCAUGUUUGCCUUUUUUGUUUUGGAAAAGCCAGAAUUCUGUGUUUUUUCUCGUUCCUAUUUCUUUCCUCCUCGGAGUAUUGUACGAUAGCAAUUUGUCAAACUAGGUUAUAGACAGAUAGAAGUACCACUGAAAUGGAGAUUGGCAAAAAUGUAUUUAGUCAGUCACCAAUUGUUCAAGUUCUCCCACUUGAAAAGAUAGGAGUGUCAGAUUUAUGAGUGAAAAGGCAUUGAGCAAGGGCAUUGAAGAUGAAACGUGUCUGGGUCUUUCAGCAUGGGAACAAUCCUUAACACACUGCCCGGGUAAUGUAGGAGUGGCUUUAAGAAGCAUUUCAAGAUCCUGGAGUGGUCAAGCCAGUCUCCAGAUGUCAACCGCAUAGAAAAUCUGUGGAGGGAGUUGAAAGUCCGGUUCCCCAGUGACAGUCCCAAAACAUCACUGCUCUAGAGGAGAUCUGCAUGAAGGAAUGGACCAAAAUACCAGCAACAGUUUUUCAAAACCUUGUGAAGAUUUACAGAAAACAUUUGACUACUGCGAUUGCCUACGAAGGGUAUAUAGCAAAGUAUUGAGUUGAACUUUUGUUAUUGACCAAAUAUUUAUUUUCCACCGGUACCGGUCCACAUCCUGAGGGUUGGGGACUUCUAAUUAGCGUAUGCAUAUUUUCCUUGUCUGUGGCCGGGUACCAAGCGGACCUCAGACUGGUACUGGAUUGUGGCCUGGAGGUUGGAGACCCCUGAUUUAAUUGGAACUGCCAGCAUGUCACAAAAUGACCAGUUGGGGACCCAAAAAUGUCAAAAAGUAACACAGAGGGGGCCCCAACCAUACAUUCAUAUAUAUGAGUUGGGAGUGAGAAUGCAUUGUGUAGUCAAACUAUGUACUAUUUUAAUUGCUACCACAAACACUUGCCUAAACAUACUUAUGCCAUUUUGUCAUUCAUGUAUUCAUUAUAACAUUUCAGGUUGAAUGUCUUUAUGUAAAUUCUUUGUGUGCCAUAAGAAGAACAAAUUUGAUUGACAUUUCUACCAUCCUAAAAAUACAAGUGAUCUUCAAACUUCAGGUGAAUUUUGCAUUUUAGCUUCCAUUAUACCCCAAUUUGUAUUCACUUGACAAGUAACUAAAAGGUUUUUGCAUUUGUAGCAUAAAGUAGUGUUCUCACACAAUAAAAAAAAAAGUUUAAUGAAUAGACUGGCGAGUUGUCCAGGGUGUACCCCGCCUUUACCCAUCAGUCGCUGGGACAGGCUCCGGCAACCCUGUUGCCCCAAAGGGUUAUUGCGGGUCAAAAAGAUUAAUGAAUUUAUAGAUGGGAAUCAAAUGAAUAACUGUCGUGAUUCUUGGAAUCACAUCCCAUUUUUGAAGAAAGAGAAAAUUGAUCUUUUUACCCCAAACGGAAAAAUGUUUUUGUACGUUUUGAGCAGCUGUUUCCCUGCGUCUAUGAUGAUCUGUCCUGCUGUUAGUGUCUGUGUGAUGGGGCGUGCACAGAAAGGAUUGAGGGCACAUUUCACACCUAGGGGGCAGCUCAGCAGGGAGGUUGGCAGUUGAUGAGCAGUGUGCACCUGGCUGAGGCCUCUCAGUCUUCCUGAGACGUUCUCGGUUAAUAGAUCAAAGAAGUAAUUCCCACUUUAUCCAAUCGCUCCUCCUCCUUGAGGUCCUCAGACUGUUUCAUCCCUCCAGCUUUUUGCUUGACAGUCUGCAAAGUGCCCUCCUCCAUCAUUCUCCCUACACUGCUGACCCACCUGUAUCCUUGAUGCCAGCGGUGAACCUGAAGCCCUGCGCUGUGGGAUUUUCUGACUCAUUAGGUCUGCUCAGUCAAGUGGAGCAGCCUGCAGAUUCCUACCGGCCAAGUUCAUCAACCCAGUCGGUGGCUCCAACUGUGAGAUGAUAAGAGAAAAAAGGUUCCAGCCGUUAGAGGCCACCAUGUCUUUGUUUAGUGUGAAAUGAGAUGAGAAGGAGGGGGGACAAAAGAUCAGGAGGGCAGGGGGUGUCAAUCAAAGCUUGCAGAUGGGGCUCAGUGGAAAUUGGUCAGCAGGGUAGAGAGCCAGCACAUUUAAGGUGGAAUUCACUGUCUGGUUACAAGAGCGUUAAUGGCUGUCUGCUACAUGGCUUCUUGCCGUGGAAACAGGUGUCUGUUUGACCCUGAAUUGCAGAACAUGCCCCGCUGACCUGCAAAGUUCUAAGACAUGUGGUAAAAACAGGGAAAUACCUGAGGACAAUUGAUCUUAUUCAAAAAGACAAUUCUGACACAUUUCUAAGGGAGAUAAAGCUUUAACUUUUUUAAAAAAGGUUGGUAAAUCAGUUUAAGUUGUUGCCAUUUACAGGAUUUUUCAGAACUGUAAAUUGCUUGUCAGACAGCAUUGAAGGUGGUGAAAUCUUAUUCAAUGAGGACAAUAUUACCGUCCUCUCAGUUCUCUUCAUCUUAAGUUGGUUAAGGCCAGGAGUUAGCAACCUGCGGCUCUGGAGCCACAUGUGGCUCUUUUACCCCCUCCCUUGUGGCUCUGUAGUUAAAGAAAAAUAAAAAGUGUAAAAUUAGAAAGUAAGUGAAUCACAAGUUCAACUAAUAGAUUUUUGAGUGCUAUUUACUAAUUUGAGGCCAGUAAGCAAAGCCAGAAUUUUGGCACCCUGUAGGCAUAUUAUAAAGCAGAAAUGUAAUGUUUUUAGGUGCAAAAAUACGGUACGGGUAAUUUAAUUGGCUCUGAUUUAAUUUUGGUAAGUUAGAUUUACAAAUUUCUCACUGAAAUUCGCACCAAAAGUAAAAUAAUUUUUUUUUAAUUAAUCACUGCUGACAUGUUGCUAUACUGAUCCCUUGUGAUAUCAGGUGCUUUUAUUUUGAAAGGAAAUUUUGAACCUCUGUCAAAAGUUAAUAAAAGGCUAAUUUUUUAUAUAUUUGUUUUAUUUAUGCCCAAAGAAACAAUAGCUGAUUUACAUUUAUCAUAAUAACAACAACAUAAAUACAAAUUAUUGGUUUUCUAAAUGGUGAAGUUAGACUUUGUGACUCCUACUGGGUUGUUGCAUGUAAGAAAUCUACCCGAACGGCUCAUUAAGUUUUAAAGGUUUCAGACCCCUGAUUUAUGCACAAAAAUAUGCAUGUUUAACCCUUCUAGUUUCCCAGAAUAUAUCAAAAAUAUUUGCAAAAGCAAAUCCUAAUUAGCCCUUAAUUUAUUUCCUCAAUUCUUAAAUGGAAAUUACCAGUUUUUUUCAAAGGUUCCUUUUUUGAUUUUUUUUUUUUUUUUAGCUCUCAAUAUAAAAUAAAAGCUUAUGGCAACUCAAAAAGCCCAAUAGAGGCCAGCUGCUUUGUGACAGAUGCCAGAAAAAUGCAAUAAUUGCUAACAGAGACCCAACAGGACCAGUGGUGCUGAUAGGUGUGCUGACUAAAAUUCCCCAGUGUGACCCACUACUGACGAAAAGCAGCUACACUGUUAGCUGUAGACAUGAAGCAGCACAAUUAGGUGUGAUACAAAGAUUGCCUCACGGUUUGUUAUUAAUUUUAUAUAUAUAUAUUUUUUUCAUUUUUUUUGUUUUGUACUUUUUUCCCCGUUAGAAUUUGUCUAAGCAAAAUCAAAAGUUUGACAUGUUUUCCUUUUCAUUUCAGUGUUGUCCCAAAUAUUUUUUUAUAGCAAUUCAAAUCAGAUCUGACUAAAGUUGUUGAGUUUGUGACUUGGUAAAGACAUUUAUGAGUUUCUAACAUUUUUUCUUUAGCCUUAUUUGUCCAAUUUCUUCCUUCUUAGAUUGCAAAGAUUCUUUUUAGAUUUCGAAAUUUUAAGUGUUUUCUUUCAAAAAAUCAGAAAUGAAAAAAAGCAAGCCUACAGAUAUAGCCGCUCAGCAGGGUGUCCAUGUCUCUGUGCUGCAAAUGAAAAUGCAGAAUAAUCAGAGUGGACAGCAGCAAUAUCUAGAAUGACAUCAUAGUAAAACCCUGUUAGCAACCAAACACAAACAGGAAAAACGUGUAUAAUUAUAACCCAAGCAGACCAGACUAUGACAGUUUUUCGUCCCUAACAGUGAUUUAUGUCCAACUUUGAAGAUGGCCAUCUUGUUUCAAUUAGCCGCAUUCCCUGCUGUUGAGCUUCAAUUUUCCUUUGUGUUAUCCAGAAUAAGAUGCAUUUGGUGUAAAAAGAAAAAAAAAAA